GGAAGUAAAAGUCUUAACAAGGUUUCCGUAGGUGAACCUGCGGAAGGAUCAUUAUUGUAUAACCGAGGUGCGAGGGCUGUCGCUGACCCGAAAGGUCGUGCACGCCCGAGUGCCCUCACACACAUCCAUCUCACCCCUAUGUGCACCACCGCGUGGGUCCCCCUUUGGCUUGUUCGGAGGGGGGCUUACGUUUUCACACAAACUUUGUAUGCAGUGUAGAAUGUAUUUUUUGUUUUUGCGAUCACGCAAUCAAUACAACUUUCAACAACGGAUCUCUUGGCUCUC
rnacentral:misc_RNA from 1 species